GAUGAACGCUGGCGGCGUGCCUAAUACAUGCAAGUCGAGCGAACAGACGAGGAGCUUGCUCCUCUGACGUUAGCGGCGGACGGGUGAGUAACACGUGGAUAACCUACCUAUAAGACUGGGAUAACUUCGGGAAACCGGAGCUAAUACCGGAUAAUAUAUUGAACCGCAUGGUUCAAUAGUGAAAGACGGUUUUGCUGUCACUUAUAGAUGGAUCCGCGCCGCAUUAGCUAGUUGGAAGGUAACGGCUUACCAAGGCAACGAUGCGUAGCCGACCUGAGAGGGUGAUCGGCCACACUGGAACUGAGACACGGUCCAGACUCCUACGGGAGGCAGCAGUAGGGAAUCUUCCGCAAUGGGCGAAAGCCUGACGGAGCGACGCCGCGUGAGUGAUGAAGGUCUUCGGAUCGUAAAACUCUGUUAUUAGGGAAGAACAAAUGUGUAAGUAACUAUGCACGUCUUGACGGUACCUAAUCAGAAAGCCACGGCUAACUACGUG
rnacentral:rRNA from 1 species